AUUGAACGCUGGCGGAAUGCUUUACACAUGCAAGUCGAACGGCAGCACGGGGCAACCUGGUGGCGAGUGGCGAACGGGUGAGUAAUACAUCGGAACGUGCCCAAUCGUGGGGGGAUAACGUAGCGAAAGUUACGCUAAUACCGCAUACGAUCUACGGAUGAAAGCGGGGGAUCGCAAGACCUCGCGCGAAUGGAGCGGCCGAUGUCAGAUUAGGUAGUUGGUGGGGUAAAGGCUCACCAAGCCAACGAUCUGUAGCUGGUCUGAGAGGACGACCAGCCACACUGGAACUGAGACACGGUCCAGACUCCUACGGGAGGCAGCAGUGGGGAAUUUUGGACAAUGGGCGCAAGCCUGAUCCAGCCAUUCCGCGUGCAGGAUGAAGGCCUUCGGGUUGGUAAACUGCUUUUGUUACGGAACGAAACGGACGAGCUCUAAUACAGUUGUCUAAUGACGGUACCGUAAGAAUAAG
rnacentral:rRNA from 1 species